ACAAACACAAACACACACCCCAACACACACGCCCUGUCCCCUUUCUCCACCCUGCAAGCUAGUUGCAUUUAGCUCACAGAGCCUGGGCUGCGACUUGAAAGAGUUUAGGCAGCAACAGAGUGACCCUGGGGGUGCUCUUGACCGACAGCCGCACCCCCGGCGUCUAGGACCUCCGAGCAGGGAUGCAUCUGGAGGUCUAGGGAAGCACUUCCACCCCCUCCUCUCCUCAAUCCUGGCAGGAUGUGCCCGAAAUGCCAGCUCCUCCUUGGUGUUCUCCUUUCAGGAUUUGAAUUCAAAUCCCAUUGGCAGCCCUGAUACCGCUGGGGGAAGGGUGAGGCUACUGCUGCUUCAAGACAGUGACGUUUCUCUCCGGUCAGCUGUCAGGAGCGCUGGUGAGCUUCCUACUGUGCCACAAGCUGGGUCUUACUGGGGAUCUGGCCAGCCUUGGGGGCCCUUGGAGCCCUGGCCCAGUGGAAGCUCGUGCCUGAGGAACAUGGAGGCCACGCUAAUGAGUUACUUCCAGAGUCUUCAAGAGUGCCAACUGGGACCAGGACCCCAGACCACAGCCCCCCACACCGUCCUGGACCUGGAUUCUGACUGUGGUUCCACUGUACCCCUCACCUUAAUCUCUGGUUCUAACCAGACCUGAGCCUAGACUUCCACUUUUUCCCUUACCCCUGUGAGGGCCUGGGAACACUAGGUGGGCAGGGUUUGAGCCCACAGGACCUGCACACAAACUUCCCCACCUCUUGGACUUGGGGACAGGAUCUGUGCCUCAACCCAGACCAGCUUUGUAGGGAUAUGUUCCAAGAACAGAGAAGAGUCUUAUGGGGAAGGGGGAGGAAGGGAAGUAUGAAUAUUUACCUCUGACCAAUAAUAGAGGUGCCCUGGUCCCCAAAGAAAUUGACUCCCGAAUUCCCUCCAAGCCUUACCCAUAUAGCUUUUGUUUGUUUGUUUGUUUUCAGACAAGGUCUUGUUCUGUCCAGUGCCGUGGCGUGACCACAGCUCAUGACAACUUUGAUUUCCCCGGCCCAAGCGAGCCUCUCAUUCAGCCUCCUGAGUGGCUGGGACCACAGACGCCACACACAGCUAAUUUUUAUGUAUUCGUUUUUAUUUUUUUGCAGAGACAGGGUCUCCCUAUGUUGCCCAAGCUGGUCUUGAACUCCUGGGCUCAAGUGAUCCUCCUGCUUCAGCCUCCCAAAGUGCUAGGAUUAUAGCCACCGCACCUCGUCUUGAAAUAGCCUUUUAAAUGUUCACCUCAGCUUGCCUCACAGUGGUAAAAAUAAGCAUUUUUUUGUUUUGUAGGAUCAGGGAGCUUCCAAGGCAUUUGAUACCUUUUUGAUGGGAAGAAGGGCUCUGAGGAGCUCCAAGAUACCCCAACCUCCAGGCCCUUCAUUAGGGGGUAGUUGGGUUUCUGUUUGGCCUUUCCCCCUGGGCCCCAUAGGCUUAAACUACCCCCACCCCCACCUCCGCCUCCUACCUCAGCUGGGAGCACUGUCUUCCAUGGGGCUUCCACUUCUCUCCUCAACCUGGGGAAGACCACAGGGCAGUGCCUGCCUCAGGACCUGCCUUCCCCAAAAGCUGGCUUCUUGCUCCAAGGAGAGAGCAUUGACCCACCUGCCAGAGUCUUGCCUUUUGCCCAAAGGAGCCUGGUCUUCAGGGCUGCAUAGGAUGCAAGUGCCUUCUCUGCUUCUCACCGUGGGUGGCACUAAUUUCCUCCUUAACCAGAACUUUGUUCCAGCCACUGACCCAUUCUAACUCUUCCCCCUCUGACUCUCCUGCGCAGGGUCUGUUCCUGGUUUCCCAGAUGCAUAAAGGAAGACAUAUCCCUCCCCUGGGCAGCAAGGCUACAAUGGGAGGGAGGGAGAACAUGGGAGCAUGUGAAUAAAAUGGCAUUAAAUACUG
rnacentral:lncRNA from 1 species